rnacentral:lncRNA from 1 species
UGCACCUGGCCAAAUAUUUCAAUUUUUAAAUGGCAUAUUAGUUCACCUCUAUCCCAAAAGAAAGGUUAUAAUCUUGUUUAAAUUAUAGAAGUAUUUUAUCUCAACCACAUAAAAUAUUAGAAUAUUCUGACACAAAUUACUGAACACAAUAAAAUGUACUAAAGCUACAGUAUCAAUGUUACUAUUUAUCAGUAAUCCACUGGGUUUCUUACAUCGUAAAGGCCUAGGGAAGAAAUCAGAAGUUUCAUGGGAAGUCACAGAUGGCGUCAGAUCAUCCGCAGAAGACUGAGUUUCCUCGUCAUCACCUGACAACAGGUCUUUUGCUAUUUCCUCCUGGAAGAAUAAGAAGGCAGUGCUACAGUUAGAAAUGAUUACAUCUCAUUAAUUAAGAAAACUAUCUUUUUAUAACAUAUCAUUAAGAAGCAGUUGGAACCUUAUGAGAGAAAUAUGAAAUUCUCCUAUGAUUUACUUCAUGUACAUAAAUAUUUAAUAUUAUAUAUUAUAUAAUAUUCAAUAAUAUACUAUUAAAUGAUAAUCAGUGCAACCAUAUACUAAAACAAUUGCCUAAUUUGUGGGUAUGCAGAGAGCUUAUCUAAAGCUGUAGGCUAAUUUUUAGUGAAUUUACAACAAAAACAGUCUGACUUUUAAGUGGUUAACAAUUAUAUUCAUUUUCUGUCAAUAAUAAAACUGAAAAAAUGCCUCCAACCUCCACUCUUCCAAUAAUUUAAAAGUCCGACUAAUGAACAGCACUGACUACUGACAUAAUUUUAAAAGAAACAAGUUUGAAUUAAUUUUUAUGUAAGUAUACAGUCAUCCUUGUGCCUAGCACAAAGUAGCCACUCAAUAAAUACUUGUUGAAUGACUAUGGUCAUUAAGGUCUGUGGUACAUUAAUAUCACAUUGACUUAAAAGUGGGAACAAUAUAACUCACAGGAAGAGGUUCCAAGAUGUGGAUUCCUCUCCCUGCCUGAGAUCUGAAAGGCAAGGAAAGGUUCCCAGGGAUCUGUUAGCAGAGGCCAUGGCCGUGUGAAUUUUCCUCAGCAGGGACUAGGCCUCCCCACAACCAGCCUACGUUAGAGAUGGAUCACCGCGGUCUUGGCUGCUGCGGCCGCUGUCACUCCCAGAGCCAAGAAAACAGAACUUCUCUCCAACCACUCCACGCCUAAGCCAGCUUGGUUUGAAGGCUUCUGGGGGAUUUAUUAAUCAAGGCUUUUAUGUGUUUAUAGGAUCAAAAGAAGUUAAGGCAAAAUCUAAGUUUAGAUACAAUGUGUCUACACAGGAAAGAUGAAAACAUUAUGGGAGAAUAUUCAGGCAUGCAAAGUACCAUGAAGCUGCUAUUAAUACUACUCUUAACAUAGGGUGAUCAAAGCCAAACAAAGUUUAAAUCAGCCACCAAAAUAAGCACAAUGGGUCAACAAGAAGUUUACAUUUAAGAAUUAUUAAAUAAUACUUUAAAUGGAAGUAAAAGCAGUCAAUGGUAACAGACCCUGAAUUUUUCUUUCAAAUGCUCACACUUACUUUGUCUAGUGUCAUGUCUGGUAGUUCAUCUGCCAGUUCACUUGGGGAACUAUUUGCACUGGAAUUUGCAACUGCUGGAAUUGUAGGUUCAUAGCCAUAGAAUGCCAGUAAAUCUUCUAGAGGCAUGGUUCCUUCCUGUUCAAGCCAGGGCAUAAACACGGACUCAGCAGAUGUCACAAUACUGAACUGCAGGUAAACUGUACUGUCCUUAGGUUCAGAAAGCACAUUAUCAAAACAGCAGAACAAAUCAAAGGCAAGUUUCAGUUUUUCUUUUUGUGCUGUUGUCAGAAAACAGGACCAAACACCUGGAGCUAUAAUUAAUGUAUAAACAACAGCCUAACAAUUAACACCUUAGUUUUUAUUUUCUAGAAGCAUUUUACUAUUUUAAAAAUUCCUCAAAUAUUUGCUUUAGUGCCUUUUUUUUUGCUUUCAAGUUAACAUAAAGAUUUGCCCUGAAAACAUUUCCAAUUAAUCAAUCAAUAACUUGUAAUUCACAGCUUCUUUCCUUGCAUUUAACAGCUGACCACUUGCUUUAUUCUUCAUGUUAAUUAGAAGACACCUGGUAGAAAACCUUUGCUGAAUGUUUACUAACAUCAGCAAUAUUUAUGUUCAAAGAACAAUUAUCCUUUUAUAUUCUUACUACAUCUCCUAUCUUUAUACCAGUUUUUUUAAAACAACUGUCUGAGGAAGAUUAUACUGUUAUCACCAUUUCACAGGUGAGAAAACUGUGGCUUAAUUCUGGGUUUGAAUCCCAGUUCCCCAAGUUAUCUCACUGGCUGCACUGCUUUAAUAAAAUUACAUACCCUGGCUACAGUGCUGCCUAUGUUAUGAAUACCUACGCCAUGCCUCACAGUGACACCAAGUCACUGUUCCCCUCUAGGAAUCCAUGUGAAAAUAAGUGUUACCAUGCACAACGUAACAUUCAGUACAUGCAGACUGCAUAUACAGCCAGGAUGCACAUACAGCUGUGGUAGGAAUAAUAUGCUACACCAUAUAGCCUAGGUGUGUAGUAGGCUACAUUAACUACUUUUGUCUAAGCAUACUCUAUGAUGUUCACACAGCAAUGAAACUGCCUAAUGACGCCUUUUUCAGAAUGUAUUCCCUUGUUCAGUGACACAUGACUAUGUUUUAACUACUAAAGUGUAUAGAACUAUUUAUCAUUCAAGGCCAGUCGCAGUGGCUCACUCCUGUAAUCCUAGCAUUUUGGGAGGCCGAGGCAGGCAGAUCACUUGAGGUCAGGAGUUCGAGACCAGCCUGGCCAACAUGGUGAAACCCCGUCUCUACUAAAAAUACAAAAAAAGAACUAUUUAUCAUUCGAAUAAAUAACCUCAAAACAAUAUACUCACGAACUAGUUAAUCUGUUAAACAUUUUUAAGAUUUCUGUAUCCAUCAAUUAAGAGAUUUUUAAAAUUUGCUUAUGGUUUAGUUUUCCCUUUAAAAUAAAAUAAUCCGUAAAGCAAACAACAUGAAAACACUAAAGCAGAGUGUGCAAAACAUGCCCACAGUUGAUCACAAAGUGACCUGAGAAGAGCCAGUGAUGAUUCCUUAGAGGGCCAGCUGGCUGCCCACAGGGCCCACAGGGGAUGCAAAAGUUUGGCCUUCACCUUUGCAGGUAUGGAACUUACAUAAUUUAUUGUGUCUAACUAAAACAGAUUUAUGCUCAAUGAACUUACAAACAGGUAUAUGAUAGAACACUAAUUUAUAAAUUUGCAGUAGUAGACAUACGCCUUUCUAAUGACCAUAAAUGAUCAUGAAAAUCUUUUUUAGCUUGGGAUUUAAAUCAACCAAAAGUCCUCUGGGAGCAUGGAAUCAGCAUAAAUUGAAUUGGAUGGUCAGAACAGGGUGAAGUUCACCUACACCAUGGGGAAACUUCAAUGAAUUAUUUUUCUUCCAAACCAAAGAAUCCAUUGAAGCUAACAAGACUCAAAUUUAGAGUCUCUCUACAGUCCUAUCUUGCUCCUUGCAGAGUCCAUGCAGCCCAUUCCCUUUGGCUCAUAUUGGUUCUAAUACAAGAGGUGCCUGGGUUGCAGCCUUUGCCAAGCACCUGUCAGUAGUAUUUCCGCAGAACCUCACAGUUUCACACUCUCUCCCUGAAAUGGGGAGUGGCAAUUUUCACCUUUUAUGCACUGAUGGUCCACCUUCCCAUCAUUUACUCAGUUCUAAGUGCUUGGCUGAGGGCUACUAGCUACUUGCUACUGGACAUACAAAUGAAAUUUACUGAAGAAUCCCUGCUCACAAGGAAUUCAGUCUUAGUGGGAGGAACUUAGUGGGAGUAAGUCUCAAAGUCUGUAAGGAUGUAAGGAUGAGUUAGCCAUUAUGAUACAAUGUGAUGGCUUCAAUAUUCAAUUGUGACUAUAGACAAGGGCAGACCUACACCCCAAGAAUACUGGUAUGGAGUAUGGAGGUAUGCACAGAGGGUGAAGACUGAGCUAAGUCUUGAAAGAUGACAAGGCUUUUGACAAUACACAAAUAUAGGGCUGCCAAGUUUGAUGAGUGUAACAAACAAAUAGAGCCCUGAGAUACAGAGUAACACUCGGGGCCCACUUCCAGAGGGUAGCAGGGAAAGACAGUCAGCAAUCUUCAGCGGAGGCCUGAAGUCUGAGAAGGCCAGUCCCAUGAAGAGUAUUCCAGGCAAAAAAAAAAGACAUAUGUGAGGCCUGAAGGUGGUUCCCUGCUAAGCCAAGUGGCCAAAGUUUGAGUUCUUUCAUCAUCAUAGUCAUGGACCAACAUCUCAGCAGUGGGGUCAAAAUCAUGAUCCUCAGAAGACAAAGACCCAACUGGAAUAAAACAAACUGAAUCACUUUACACAUUUACAAGGCUAUUAACAAAAGAAAAUAAAAAUUUG